rnacentral:rRNA from 1 species
ACAGUGAUGUAUGGAGCGGACUGAUACUAAUCGAUCGAGGACUUAACCAA